rnacentral:rRNA from 1 species
UACGUAGGUGGCAAGCGUUGUCCGGAUUUACUGGGCGUAAAGAGCGCGCAGGCGGUCGUUCAAGUCGCGUGUGAAAGCCCCCGGCUCAACUGGGGAGGGUCACGCGAUACUGAUCGACUCGAAGGCAGGAGAGGGUAGUGGAAUUCCCGGUGUAGUGGUGAAAUGCGUAGAUAUCGGGAGGAACACCAGUGGCGAAGGCGACUACCUGGCCUGUUCUUGACGCUGAGACACGAAAGCCAGGGGAGCAAAGCGGG